rnacentral:lncRNA from 1 species
AUAUAGUGUGUGCGUGUGUAUGUGUAACUGUCUCAUCACAAGGGGCAAAGGACUUCCUUUAUAUCCCAGGUGAAGACACAGAGCACUCAUCCAAGGGUGAGGCAGAAUGUACACUGGAUUUCAGUCCUAACUGAUUGCAUUUGGAAACUGAAUUUUGGCUCUUUCUUGAAUAGGGGACUUGGACAAGCUGCUGAACCUUGGAACCUCCUUUCCUUAUCUGGAAAUGGGAAAAUCAAAAAGCACCCUAACUAUAUGUUCCCACUCCC